CAGUACUAGGGAAGGUGGCACCAGCUUUAGAAGUAGGGCUAUAUCUCCAGAAUAUCCCAGACUUUUCCAAGAAGCCACUUCAUUUUGAAUCUGUGUCACUUCAUUGGAAAAUUAACUUCAAAAAUUUACGGAGAAUUGGCAGCACUUCUUUUUAUUAGUGGUAUAUUUACUUUUCCAAAUAUCUAAGGAAUCUUCUGAAUUUUAAUAUUUUAGGAUAUUCUGUUUUAUUCAUGUUUAUAAUUUUCUACACUAUCAUUGUUAUAUAACCUCUGGUAGGUGGCAGUUUUUUUAAAAAUGAUUUUUAUUUUUUCCAUUAUAGUUGGUUUACAGCGUUCUGUCAGUUUUCUGCUGUACAGCAAAGUGACCGAGUCACACAUACAUAAUACAUUCUUUUUCUCACAUUAUCCUCCAUCACGCUCCAUCAUAAAUUACUAAAUAUAGUUCUCAGUGCUAUACAGCAGGAUCUCAUUGCUUAUCCAUUCCAAAGCAAUAGUUUGCAUCUAUUAACCUCAGAUUCUCAGUCCAUCUCACUCACUCCUGCUUCCCCUUGGCAACCACAAGUCUGUUCUCCAAGUCCAUGAGUAUCUUUUCUGUGGAAAGGUUCAUUUGUGCCAUAUAUUAGAUUCCAGAUAUGUCAUAUCAUAUGGUAUUUGUCUUCCUAUUUCUGACUUACUUCACUUAGUAUGAGAGCCUCUAGUUCCAUCCAUGUUGCUGCAAAUGUCAUUAUUUUGUUCUUUUUAUGGCUGAGUAGUAUUCCAUUGUGUAUAUAUACCACAUCUUCUUAAUCCAUUCAUUUGUCAGUGGACAUUUAGGUGUUUCCAUGUCUAGGCUGUAGUGAAUAGUGUUGCAGUGAACAUACUGGUGCAUGUAUCUUUUUCAAGGGAGUUUUGUCCAGAUGUAUGCCCAAAAGGGGGAUUGAGGAGGAUUGCUGGGUCAUAUGGUAGUUCUAUAUACAGUUUUCUAAGGUACCUCCAUACUGUUUUCCAUAGUGGUUGUACCAAUUUACAUCCCCACCAACAGCGUAGGAGGGUUGUAUUUUCUCCACACCCUCUCCAGCAUUUGUUAUUUGUGGACUUAUUAAUGAUGGUCAUUCUGACUGGUGUGAGGUGCUACUUCAUAGUAAUUUUGAUUUGCAUUUCUCCAAUAAUCAGUGAUGUAUAGCAUCUUUUUAUGUGCUUGUUGGCCAUCUGUAUAUCUUCUUUGGAGAAAUGUCUAUUGAAGUCUUUUGCCCAUUUUUCAAUUGGGUUGUUGGUUUAUUUUUUGCUGUUGAGUUGUAUGAGUUGUUUGUAUAUUUUAGAGAUUAAGCCCUUGUCAUUUGCAUCGUUUGAAAUUCUUUUCUCCCAUUCUGUAGGUUAUCUUUUUGGUCUUUUUUUUAAUGGUUUCCUUUUCCCUGCAAAAGUUUGUCAGUUUGAUUAGAUCCCAUUGGUUUAUUUUUGCUUUUAUUUCUGUUGCCUUGGGUGACUGACCUAAGAAAACAUUUGUAAUGUUGAUGUCAGAGAAUGUUUUGCCUAUGUUCUCUUCUAGGAGUUUGAUGGUGACUUGUCUUACAUUUAAGUCUUCAAGCCAUUUUAAAUUUAUUUUGUGUAUAAUAUAACCUUCUUGAUUUCUGGCUUUCUGGAAUUCAAAGUUCAGAUUGGUUCUUAAACUGUUAACCUUAAUAUUUUUAGUUGUCUUUUUUUUUUUUUUUUUUUUUUUUGUCUUUUUGCCAUUUCUUAGGCCGCUUCUGCGGUUCCCAGGGUAGGGGUCUAAUCGGAGCUGUAGCUGCCAGCCUACACCAGAGCCAUAGCAAUAUGGGAUCCGAGCCGUGUCUGCAACCUACACCACAGCUCAUGGCAACGCCAGAUCCUUAACCCACUGAGCAAGGCCAGGGACCGAACCUGCAACCUCAUGGUUCCUAGUCGGAUUCGUUAACCACUGCGCCACAAUGGGAACUCCUUUUUAGUUGUCUUUAAUUGACUUUUUUUUUUUUUUUUUUUUUUUUUUUUUUUGGUCAUACCCGCCACAUGUGGAAGAUCCCGGGCUAGGGAUCAAGCCCAUACCACAGCAGUGACCUGAGCCGCUGCAGUGACAAUGCUGGAUCCUUAACCUGCUGUGCCACCAGAAAACUCCUUUAAUUGACUUAUUUAGGUUCUUUCUAUAAAGAUACCACUCUAGUUCCUUUCUGUUAACCUUUGCUGUGGUUAGUCCUACUCCUUCUUCAGAUCUCAGCUUCUUCUAAGUGUUCUGUGACUUCUCCUGAACUAGCUUAACACACCUGCAGUCAUCUCUCCAAGCAGUAGAUACUACUUGCCACAUCGCAGUGUUGCCCUACAAUGUGUUAUUUAUUUUUAAUUUUCUGAAUAGUCCUGUAGUACUUUUUGUGUGCCGGACAUUGUUUUAAGUGAUUAAUUUAUUUGAUCUUCAUAAUAAGACUUGGAGAUACAACUAUUACUGCUGCCACUUAUGGAUGAGACAAAUGAGGCACAGCGAGAUUAAGUAACUUGCCCAUGGACAUACCUAGUCAGUGAUGGAGCAGGAUUUGAACCAUACUGUCUGGCUCCUGCAUCCAUCCUCUUUAACACCAUGCUAUGCUGCCUCUCAUUUUAUUAUUAUUCUUUGUUUAAUGGUAAUAUUGUAACUCCCCCACUCCUCACCACAGCAAUCGUCUAUCUUGUUAACCAUAGUAUGUCCCCACAAAUGGUAAGCCCUUCAGAAAGACAGUGACAAUGCUACUUUGUUUCUUGUUGGAUUCUAGUACCUUUUAAGACAGUGCUUAACACAUAAUUGGUAUUUGAUGCAUUUUUAUUGAAUAAAUGGACACAUGUAUAUUCACUGUAAAUGAACUAACAGCAGCGUCUCUUAAAUACGAUAUAAAUGUGAUCCAGUUAUACUGGAGGAAAAGGGAACUUAUACUGACAAGUGGUAUUUUGAAAAUUUCAAAUGUCUAAAAAAGAUUAAAGCUAAAGGGGAUUUCAAGGCUGGUAACAGGUGCUUCAAUUUGAAGCAGAGCUGCUGCUAUUCAAACCUUCCCCACUCCCAGCCACAGGAACAGGCAGUUAGGAAAGCUUGCAGGCUGGAAGGAAAUUCUAAUUCCUUGGAAUGCCCUGAAGAAGGAGGUAGAGCUAUAGACUCUGACUACUUUACUCCAAGACCUGAUAACCC
rnacentral:lncRNA from 1 species